GGGGCCCCGGAUCUAAGUGUUUGCGAUACACAGCAAGUGACACACCGAAAGCGUUAAGUAUUCCCCCUGGGGAGUACGCCCGCAACGGUGAAACUCAAAGGAAUUGACGGGGGCCCGCACAAGCGGAGGAACAUGUGGUUUAAUUCGAUGAUACGCGAGGAACCUUACCCGGGCUUGAAUUGCAUAUGAAUAUAGCGGAAACGUUAUAGCCAGCCAUGGCAUAUGUGAAGGUGCUGCAUGGUUGUCCUCAGCUCGUGCCGUGAGGUGUCCGCUUAAGUGCCAUAACGAGCGCAACCCUCAUCAUUAGUUACUAACAGGUCAUGCUGAGGACUCUAAUGAGACUGCCGGCGUAAGCUGUGAGGAAGGUGGGGAUGACGUCAAAUCAGCACGGCCCUUACGUCCGGGGCGACACACGUGUUACAAUGGGGGGGACAGCAGGCUGCUAAGUGGUGACACCGAGCGAAUCCUGAAACCCUCUCUCAGUUCGGAUCGAAGUCUGCCAACCCGACUUCGUGAAGCUGGAUUCGCUAGUAAUCGCGCAUCAGCCAUGGCGCGGUGAAUACGUUCCCGGGCCUUGUACACACCGCCCGUCAAGCCAUGGAAGUUGGGGGUGCCUGAAGUGCGUGACCGCCAGGAGCGUCCUAGGGCAAAACCGCAUGACUGGGGCUAAGUCGUAACAAG
rnacentral:rRNA from 1 species